GGUUUCCAGUUGCUUUCGUAGAAUGUGUUUCGGAAGCGAACCGAAGAGGGAAGUGAUAAUCCCACGCGAGUUCUGCGGGUGAAAGUGGAUAGAGCUGAGAGUGAGGCCUGAAAGCUGCCAACGAAGCAUUUGGGGGCGGAGGCGUGAUAUAAGCGUGAUGGGGACCGUGGCCUACCGGGUUGAUCGCGUGAGAUUUCUGCCCGAGAAUCCGUCGAGCAUUGUCCCAAUCACGAUUUCCGGAGUGGGGGUUGGGGCUAUGGCUGUGCCUUGUUUACAGAGGGAGCAGGUCUUUACGUUCCACUUGCUUGUUUUGACAACAUCCAAGAACCCUUCAGCGAAUUUGUUUAGAACUUUGGUACUGGCCAGGGAUUGAACCCAAGACCUGCAUUCAGUCCCCUGCUGAUCAAACUUCUUCACUUCUACAGUCACAAAUCCACUACAACCCUGGUGAGUAACUCCCCUGAUAACUUUUAAAACAGGCUGUUUCUUUCCCAGCGUGCGCUCUUUCCUCCCUGUGUCCCCGACCCGCGCGCCCUUCUUCCGGCUCCCGCGCACAGCCUCGGCGCCGCCGGUCCCACAGUCAUGGGACGGCCUCCCGCGUGGCCCGAGAGGCCUAGACACCCCAGGGGGGGGGCCUGCGCCUGGCGCCUCUCCCUCCCCCCCCCUCUAACCACGUUAUAGCUCCCUUUCUUUCGCCGGCGCAGCGGCUCUGGGCGCGAGCCCGGGCCCUUUACAAAACUUUUAAAGCAGCUUUCUUUCCCAGCGCGGCUCCUCUCCCUCCCCGCUGCGCGCCUCCUCCGCGCCGCCGGUCCCACAGUCAUGGGACGGCCUCCCGCGUGGCCCGCGAGGCCUAGUCACCCCAGGGGGGGCCCGCGCCCGGCUCCUCUGCGCCCAGCGCCUCUCCCUCCCCCCUCCAACCACGUUAUAGCUCCCUUUCUUUCGCCGGCACAGCGGCUCUGGGCGCGAGUGUGGCCCUUCCCAUAGAUCUCCUCCGCCCGCGCCCGGCUCCUCUGCACCCGGGCUCCGCCGUUCUGCCAAGGUUAAAUGAGACCAGACAAUGAGACCAGACAAUGAGACCAGAGAUUCACAUCAAACUGCUUUUGAUUUUAAAAACAGCCUUUUUUCUUUCUUUUCGCUCUCACAUUGCUUUCCAAUUCUGUGGGCCUCGUGGCUUUGGCCUCCAGCCCAGCCCAUUUCCUGUUUCACCACCCGCGCGGCCACACGGCGGCAGCGUCCCGCAGCGUCCCUGCGCCGCCAUACCCCGCCCGCCAUAGCCGCCCAAAAGCCGUCGCUUUCACAGCGCGCCGGGGUCUAGAGCGGCCCGUGAGCUUUUCACAACAAAGCCCGCCUAACUUCACGCUGUGCCUCUCCCGCGGCCACAGCAUACUACUCGCCCUGCUCCACGCAGCAAGCAAGCCGUGCCUCUGACUGCCUCUGCCGCCACCCCGCCCCGCCCCUCCGGGGCGCGGCCACCCCCUCUGUCGCCCGCCUUGGCCGUCGCCCCGCCCCUCCGGGGGACCGAACGUGAGCCACAGCUCCCAUUGGCGCCAGGCGUCAACUGGGAUCACCACUCGGGGCCUCCAAGCCCCACCCCCUUACGCGGUCGCAGCGAAACCACGUCAUUUCCCUGCGCCGCUUAGCGCGUCACAGUAAGCCUCCGUUCUCUGCUUACGGUAUCCCGCGUUCGCCCUGCCCACUCUACACGGCCCGCCCCUCCGCGGUACCGGGCAACAGGCUGCCACUGCUGCCUCACGACAACCAAACACGCGCUGGGCGCGUGCCACAGAUCUCAGUGUUUCAACCUGCCUUUAAUACUACACAUUUCCAAAGUCUCACGGCCUUGCCCAAACUUUUUUUACAGUUCAGUUCCACUCGAGAGAGGCUAUUUUUUUUUUUCCUUUUUUUUCUUACAGUUUUUCUACCAUUUGUUCACUAUUGCUGGCCACCUGAUAAUUUUACCAACCUGCCUGCCUUAUAAUCUUAAAUGCUGAUAUUAAAUUCCUACAUACUUACUUAAGUCUACUAUAGUCCAAAUCCCAAACAAAAAGGCAAAACUUGACCUUCAAACCUUAUAGAGAUCUUAAUAUGGUUUUUCAUAUUUUUAACACUUGUGACACUUGGAGUUCUGAGACAGGUAAACCUACACAAGGUGGAGCUGCCUGCCCCCUCCAUGGACCACGCUCAAAUGCAGCAGAAGACGCCCCAUCCUGGCAUUCUUUGAGACCUUACUCCAGGGCUACUGGACUGUCCUAGCCACCAGAGAGUGGGUAAGUCAUCCUAAGUAAUAGCCCUUAAAAAAAUAUCGACAUUGCCAGAUUCGUCACCGACAGAAAAUCGCUGCUAGAGGCUGAGGGGGUUCAGGACAACAACAGCCCCCUUUAAAGUGUCCGUCUCAGAUUCCAAGUCGCACUACAGUCUCAGGUAAGAUAUUCUCUAUAUUUGUGGACAUAGAGGCCAUAUAUACAGGAUUCUUCCUGAGUAUUCAGGUUGCUAUAUUAAAUCAAUCUCUAUGACAUGGUAUUGAUGGUCAACCUAUGCCAUUUACAAACAGGCCCAUUUUUAUACAGGUCCCAGUCCUAAAUCAUAAAAUGCUUUUAUUCCCUUUUAAACUGCCAUUCUGGUUUCACAUCACUCAGGCCCUAGAUCUAACCAUCCUUUUGAUGCUCAUCUCUGCCUUAUGACUCACAGGUUGUCAUGUUUUGUUGUCGAGUUUGAUUCUUAAUUUCUCACAUUCUAUUAAUGAUCAUUUCUAUAGCAGGAGUCCCUAACACGAUUGCUUACAGUCUCCAACAUCAUAUAUACCAGAGUCAAGCCUUACCUACCUACCUUUUAACUUUUAUGCUUUCAUAGGGGGAGUAAACACAUCUCAUAACUUCACUCCUCCUAAUCCCACGUUUAUUUUUCAGAAUUCUGCCUUGCCACCUCAACGUCACCCUGAUAAAAUACCAUCUCAAAACCAAAGUCACCUUCCUAUCUACCUCAUCUGGGUCCUUAAAUAUAAUAGUGCCAUCUCUCCUAAUGACAUUAUGUCUCUUUGUUUUUCCAGUCUGACAUACAUACAUUCACCAGUGAAGUUGUCCUGGCUAAAACACCUGGCAUCAGUGUCUACCUGGACAUCAACCUUCAUCCCGUCGAACUCCCCUAGACCCCCAAUACAGCGCCCUCAGCCAGCAGGAAGUAGUUACAGAGAGAGAUCUUCGCCCCUUUUCCUAAUAACCAGAAGACGGGAUAUGAAAGAGUUGCUGGCCCAGAUGGAACACUGUAACCAGAAAAGGCUGCAGCUAAACUCCCCCCCCCCGCCCCCUAUGGACUUGAUUGUAACCCUAUAUCCCCAUCCUUAAGAACCUGUGCACCAAUGAGAUACCUAUGCAUCUCUAAUGGCCUUAGGGUGCUGCCCUAAGCUUAGGCUAUUUAAAUUCCCCCACGCCACGUGUCAGAGAGAGAGUUCACCAGAGAGAGAGUUCGCCAGAGAGAGAGAGCUCGCCAGAUUCCAGCGGCCAGCGCCGGCCAGCGCGCCAGUCUCCAUUCCCCGUGUUCCCGGAGAGACCACAGCCCGGCCCCGGGCUCGGUGCAGAGAUGCUGCGCCCCGGGGCCGGCGGCGGGGGGCCCCCUCCCUGCAUUCCCGGAAUAAAGUCACCGCUGCCCACUACUUUCACGGCUGUCCACUCCGCUCCAUUCCUCCCACGGACUUCUCCUCUCCUCCCCCUUCUCUCAGACCUAACAAUAUGAAUUGGAUCUAUGUAUGAUAAACCCCACCAAAUAACUAUCUUUUUAUUUCAAAAAGUCCACCAAAUGACUGUAUUUUUUUCAAACAGCCCUAUGUCCUUUUGAUACAGGGGAGUGAAACUCCCAGCCUACUAUAUGUCACUGUAAGUUCCUGUUCUUCAAAAUUUAAGAAUGAAUUUUAGGAACAGUGGAGGUUAAGAGUAGCAAUAUUUAUUGAGAGAAAGAAAUUUUUUGUUGUAGAGAGACAGAUGAGGUUCUGAGUGGGUUGUCUGAGGAGCAAUUUUAAAAAGCCCUAUAGUGGUUGUUCAGAAUGACUCUUAAUUAUUUUAUCUUACCAAACUCUUCCUUUAAAAUGUCAUUACUGAAGUGUGGGGGAUGAGGAGUCACUUUGAAGGCCCUGGCCCCCUCGGGACCUGCAGUAAACAAUAGCCCCCAGUAUGUGAGACAGAGAUGGGACAGGAAUGCCUGAUCUCAGUGGGGGAAAAUGUUCCCUCCCUCUCAACCCAUGCUGUGUGACUUGGCUUUGUUUGCAGAGUCAUGAGGAAGUGGCCGACCACCAUUGUGACACUAAAGAACAAAUAUAAUCAAAAACAUUCUUAGGCUAAUGGAGUUCCUCCUGGGCUAGUGGGGCUAGAAGAACUGGUUUUGCUUGUUUGCUUAACAUAGAUAGUUCAGAUAAACAUUGUAGUCUGUCACAAAGCUUGUCACAAAGAAUGCUUUUUCAAGAUAAUCGUCUGUGUUUUGUGAAUUGAUCUGGUUUACUGUAUAAGACCCUAAAAAUAAAGCACAGCGUGCAGUGCAGUGCAGUGCAGUUGCAA